rnacentral:rRNA from 1 species
AACGAACGCUGGCGGCAUGCCUAACACAUGCAAGUCGAACGCGUGUAGCAAUACACGAGUGGCGGACGGGUGAGUAACGCGUGGGAACCUGCCCAGUGGUAGGGAAUAACUGCGGGAAACUGCAGCUAAUACCCUAUACGCCCUUUGGGGGAAAGAUUCAUCGCCAUUGGAGGGGCCCGCGUCGGAUUAGCUAGUUGGCGGGGUAACGGCCCACCAAGGCAACGAUCCGUAGCUGGUCGAGAGGAUGAUCAGCCACACUGGGACUGAGAUACGGCCCAGACUCCUACGGGAGGCAGCAGUGGGGAAUAUUGGACAAUGGGGGAAACCCUGAUCCAGCAAUGCCGCGUGAGUGAAGAAGGCC